GAUGAACGCUGGCGGCGUGCCUAAUACAUGCAAGUCGAGCGAACAGAUGAUGAGCUUGCUCCUCUGACGUUAGCGGCUGACGGGUGAGUAACACGUGGAUAACCUACCUAUAAUACUGGGAUAACUUCGUGAAACCGGAGCUGAUACCGGAUAAUAUAUUGAACCGCAUGGUUCAAUAGUGAAAGACGGUUUUGCUGUCACUUAUAGAUGGAUCCGCGCCGCAUUAGCUAGUUGGUAAGGUAACGGCUUACCAAGGCGACGAUGCGUAGCCGACCUGAGAGGGUGAUCGGCCACACUGGAACUGAGACACGGUCCAGACUCCUACGGGAGGCAGCAGUAGGGAAUCUUCCGCAAUGGGCGAAAGCCUGACGGAGCAACGCCGCGUGAGUGAUGAAGGUCUUCGGAUCGUAAAACUCUGUUAUUAGGGAAGAACAAAUGUGUAAGUAAAUAUGCACGUCUUGACGGUACCUAAUCAGAAAGCAACGGCUAACUACGUG
rnacentral:rRNA from 1 species